rnacentral:rRNA from 1 species
AGGAUUAACGCUGGCGGCGUGCCUGACACAUGCAAGUCGAACGAGGCCGCAAGGCCGAGUGGCGGACGGGUGAGUAACACGUGACCAACCAACCUCGAAGUUGGGAAUAGCUCUGCGAAAGUAGGGGUAAUACCGAAUGUGGCCCAGGGCGGGCAUCCGCCUUGGUCUAAAGAUUCAUCGCUUCGAGACGGGGUCGCGGCCUAUUAGCUUGUUGGUGAGGUAACGGCUCACCAAGGCGAUGAUGGGUAGCUGGUCUGAGAGGACGACCAGCCACGCUGGGACUGAGACACGGCCCAGACUCCUACGGGAGGCAGCAGUGAGGAAUCUUCCGCAAUGGGCGAAAGCCUGACGGAGCAACGCCGCGUGUGGGAUGAAGACUCUAGGGUUGUAAACCACUGUCGGAGGGGACGAUCGUGACGGUACCCUCCAAGAAAGCCCCGGCUAACUACGUGCCAGCAGCCGC